rnacentral:rRNA from 1 species
UACGGGGGGAGCAAGCGUUGUUCGGAUUUACUGGGCGUAAAGGGCGUGUAGGCGGCCAAGUAAGUGAGAUGUGAAAUCCCCCGGCUUACCCGGGGACCUGCAUCUCAUACUGCUUGGCUUGAGUAUGGGAGAGGAUGAGGGAAUUCCUGGUGUAGCGGUGAAAUGCGCAGAUAUCAGGAAGAACACCUAUGGCGAAGGCAGCACUCUGGGACGGUACUGACGCUGAGACGCGAAAGCGUGGGGAGCGAACAGGAU